rnacentral:rRNA from 11 species
UUUGCCCAUGCCUGCCCUAGAGGCACCAGAUCCUGCCUGAUCUUGGAAGCUAAGCAGAGUCAGCCCUGGAUCCUUGGGAAGACCAUCAAUAAAGAUCGGGUGCUGUGGGGUCUGGGAAUUGGCAAAA